CCUACGGGUGGCAGCAGUAGGGAAUCUUCCACAAUGGACGAAAGUCUGAUGGAGCAACGCCGCGGGAGUGAAGAAGGGUUUCGGCUCGUAAAGCUCUGUUGGUAGUGAAGAAAGAUAGAAGUAGUAACUGGCCUUUAUUUGACGGUAAUUACUUAGAAAGUCACGGCUAACUACGUGCCAGCAGCCGCGGUAAUACGUAGUGGGCAAGCGUUGUCCGGAAUUAUUGGGCGUAAAGGGGGUGCAGGCGGUUCAAGAAGUCUGAUGUGAAAGCCUUCGGCUCAACCGGAGAAUUGCAUCAGAAACUGUUGAACUUGAGUGCAGAAGAGGAGAGUGGAACUCAGUGUGUAGCGGUGGAAUGCGGAGAUAUAUGGAAGAACACCAGUGGCGAAGGCGGCUCUCUGGUCUGCAACUGACGCUGAGGCUCGAAAGCAUGGGUAGCGAACAGGAUUAGAUACCCGGGUAGUC
rnacentral:rRNA from 1 species